rnacentral:rRNA from 1 species
AGUGAACGCUGGCGGUAGGCCUAACACAUGCAAGUCGAACGGCAGCACAGAGGAGCUUGCUCCUUGGGUGGCGAGUGGCGGACGGGUGAGGAAUACAUCGGAAUCUACUCUGUCGUGGGGGAUAACGUAGGGAAACUUACGCUAAUACCGCAUACGACCUACGGGUGAAAGCAGGGGAUCUUCGGACCUUGCGCGAUUGAAUGAGCCGAUGUCGGAUUAGCUAGUUGGCGGGGUAAAGGCCCACCAAGGCGACGAUCCGUAGCUGGUCUGAGAGGAUGAUCAGCCAAACUGGAACGGAGACACGGUCCAGACUCCUACGGGAGGCAGCAGUGGGGAAUAUUGGACAAUGGGCGCAAGCCUGAUCCAGCCAUACCGCGUGGGUGAAGAAGGCCUUCGGGUUGUAAAGCCCUUUUGUUGGGAAAGAAAUCCAUCUGGUUAAUACCCGGGUGGGAUGACGGUACCCAAAGAAUAAGCACCGGCUAACUUCGUGCCAGCAGCCGCAGUAA